UUUUUAUGGCUGUACUAUAUUCUACCAUCAGUGCUACCAUGCAGUGAAAUAUGGGGUGGAUCCAUGGACUAUACUAUCAGAAAAACAGAUUGGUGAAUAGGACACAGACUCUUGAGAAAGACAUGUCAGUUCAAUUCCUUACUCUCCUACUUGAUGUUUGACCUCAUGCAAGAGUCACUCAGAUAUUUCACUGUGAAGCUCACAGAAACAAUGACCUCUGGUUGCAGAAUGGAACGAAAAAGAAUGACACCCUGGCCUAUCUUGGAAAUGAUCUGAAAGAGGGUGAAUCUCAUGCUUGUUUACAAAGGAAUCCAUCACAAAAGUUUUGCACAUGCUCUACUGAGACUUCCGUUAUGGGCAGUGUAUCCCAC